AGAGUUUGAUCCUGGCUCAGAACGAACGCUGGCGGCAGGCUUCAUACAUGCAAGUCGAACGGGCAGUAGCAAUACUGUCAGUGGCGAACGGGUGCGUAACAGGUGGAUAAUCUGCCCUUUGGCGGGGGACAACGGUUGGAAACGGCCGCUAAUACCGCAUGUGAUCAUUGGUUCUUCGGCACCGAUGAGGAAAGGCGCUUCACAGCGUCACCAGAGGAUGAGUCCGCCUCCCAUUAGCUAGUUGGUGAGAUAACAGCCCACCAAGGCAACGAUGGGUAGCCGAGCUGAGAGGUUGAUCGGCCACACUGGGACUGAGACACGGCCCAGACACCUACGGGUGGCAGCAGUAGGGAAUCUUGGACAAUGGGCGAAAGCCUGAUCCAGCCAUGCCGCGUGAGGGAUGAAGGUCUUCGGAUUGUAAACCUCUUUUCUGAGGGAAGAACUGCCAGUAGAGGAAAUGCUUCUGGUUUGACGGUACCUCAGGAAUAAGCAACGGCUAACUCGGUGCCAGCAGCCGCGGUAAUACGGAGGUUGCAAGCGUUGUUCGGAAUUACUGGGCGUAAAGGGGGCGCAGGCGGUUCGCCAAGUUGAAAGUGGAAGCCCGGGGCUCAACCCCGGAUUGUCUUUCAAUACUAGCGAACUUGAGUUUGGGAGAGGAAAGCGGAAUUCCGGGUGUAGCGGUGAAAUGCGUAGAUAUCCGGAGGAACACCGAUGGCGAAAGCAGCUUUCUGGCCCGAUACUGACGCUCAUGCCCGAAAGCGUGGGGAGCGAACAGGAUUAGAUACCCUGGUAGUCCACGCCGUAAACGUUGUGCACUAGGUGUAGGAGGUGUCGACCCCUUCUGUGCCGCAGCUAACGCAUUAAGUGCACCGCCUGGGGAGUACGGUCGCAAGACUGAAACUCAAAGGAAUUGACGGGGGCCCGCACAAGCGGUGGAGCAUGUGGUUUAAUUCGAGGCAACGCGAAGAACCUUACCUGGGCUUGACAUCCCCUGACAUCCCAUGAAAGUGGGCUUUCUCUUCGGAGACAGGGAGACAGGUGUUGCAUGGCUGUCGUCAGCUCGUGUCGUGAGAUGUUGGGUUAAGUCCCGCAACGAGCGCAACCCCUAUUUCUAGUUACCAGCGAGUCAUGUCGGGAACUCUAGGAAGACUGCCGGUGAUAAGCCGGAGGAAGGUGGGGACGACGUCAAGUCAUCAUGGCCCUUACGUCCAGGGCUACACACGUGCUACAAUGGCCGGUACAGUGGGCAGCAAUACCGCGAGGUGGAGCUAAUCCAUAAAAGCCGGUCUCAGUUGGGAUUGGAGUCUGCAACUCGACUCCAUGAACGUGGAAUCGCUAGUAAUCGCGCAUCAGCUACGGCGCGGUGAAUACGUUCCCGGGCCUUGUACACACCGCCCGUCACAUGACCCGAGUCGGGUGCACCC
rnacentral:rRNA from 1 species